GAUGAAGAACGUAGCGAAAUGCGAUACGUAAUGUGAAUUGCAGAAUUAAGUGAAUCAUCGAAUCUUUGAACGCAUAUUGCGCUCUUUGGUAUUCCGAAGAGCAUGCUUGUUUGAGUAUCAGUAAACACCUCAAAGCUUUUGGAUUUUUUAAUCGAAAAGCUUUGGACUUGAGCAAUCCCAACACCAAUCUUUUUGAGAUCGGUGGCGGGUUGCUUGAAAUGCAGGUGCAGCUGGACAUUCUCCUGAGCUAAAAGCAUAUUCAUUUAGUCCCGUCAAACGGAUUAUUACUUUUGCUGCAGCUAACAUAAAGGGAGUUUGACCGUAUUGGCUGACUGAUGCAGGAUUUCACAAGGGUCGGCAACGAUUCUUGUUAAACUCGAUCUCAAAUCAAGUAAGACUACCCGCUGAACUUAAGCAUAUCAUAAGCGGAGGA
rnacentral:misc_RNA from 1 species